UAUCUAAAAAUACGUCUUAACUCGAAGA
rnacentral:piRNA from 1 species